rnacentral:rRNA from 1 species
CAGGUCUUGACAUCCCGAUGCUAUUUCUAGAGAUAGGAAGUUACUUCGGUACAUCGGUGACAGGUGGUGCAUGGUUGUCGUCAGCUCGUGUCGUGAGGAUGUUGGGUUAAGUCCCGCAACGAGCGCAACCCCUAUUGUUAGUUGCCAUCAUUCAGUUGGGCACUCUAGCGAGACUGCCGGUAAUAAACCGGAGGAAGGUGGGGAUGACGUCAAAUCAUCAUGCCCCUUAUGACCUGGGAUACACACGUGCUACAAUGGUUGGUACAACGAGUUGCGAGUCGGUGACGGCGAGCUAAUCUCUUAAAGCCAAUCUCAGUUCGGAUUGUAGGCUGCAACUCGCCUACAUGAAGUCGGAAUCGCUAGUAAUCGCGGAUCAGCACGCCGCGGUGAAUACGUUCCCGGGCCUUGUACACACCGCCCGUCACACCACGAGAGUUUGUAACACCCGAAGUCGGUGAGGUAACCUUAUGGAGCCAGCCGCCUAAGGUGAGAUAGAUGAUUGGGGUG